AAACCAACAGGGAUUGCCCCAGUAACGGCGAGUGAAGCGGCAACAGCUCAAAUUUGAAAUCUGGUCCCCAGGGCCCGAGUUGUAAUUUGUAGAGGAUGCUUUUGGCGAGGCGCCUUCCGAGUUCCCUGGAACGGGACGCCACAGAGGGUGAGAGCCCCGUCUGGUCGGAUGCCAAGCCUAUGUAAAGCUCCUUCGACGAGUCGAGUAGUUUGGGAAUGCUGCUCAAAAUGGGAGGUAUAUGUCUUCUAAAGCUAAAUACCGGCCAGAGACCGAUAGCGCACAAGUAGAGUGAUCGAAAGAUGAAAAGCACUUUGAAAAGAGGGUUAAAAAGUACGUGAAAUUGUUGAAAGGGAAGCGCCUAUGACCAGACUUGGGCCCGGUGAAUCAUCCAGCGUUCUCGCUGGUGCACUUUGCCGGGCACAGGCCAGCAUCAGUUUGGCGCGGGGGACAAAGGCUUCGGGAAUGUGGCUCCCCUCGGGGAGUGUUAUAGCCCGUUGCGCAAUACCCUGCGCCGGACUGAGGUACGCGCUCCGCAAGGAUGCUGGCGUAAUGGUCAUCAGCGAC
rnacentral:rRNA from 1 species